GACGAACGCUGGCGGCGUGCCUAAUACAUGCAAGUAGAACGCUGAAGGAGGAGCUUGCUCUUCUGGAUGAGUUGCGAACGGGUGAGUAACGCGUAGGUAACCUGCCUGGUAGCGGGGGAUAACUAUUGGAAACGAUAGCUAAUACCGCAUAACAGUAGAUGUUGCAUGACAUUUGCUUAAAAGGUGCAAUUGCACCACUACCAGAUGGACCUGCGUUGUAUUAGCUAGUUGGUGGGGUAACGGCUCACCAAGGCGACGAUACAUAGCCGACCUGAGAGGGUGAUCGGCCACACUGGGACUGAGACACGGCCCAGACUCCUACGGGAGGCAGCAGUAGGGAAUCUUCGGCAAUGGGCGGAAGUCUGACCGAGCAACGCCGCGUGAGUGAAGAAGGUUUUCGGAUCGUAAAGCUCUGUUGUAAGAGAAGAACGAGUGUGAGAGUGGAAAGUUCACACUGUGACGGUAUCUUACCAGAAAGGGACGGCUAACUACGUG
rnacentral:rRNA from 1 species